CCUCGAAAUGGCUUUAGGGUCAGCCUCGAGUAAAAUCUUGUUGGGGGUAGAGCACUAGUUGGGUGCGGGGGAUGAAAUAUCCUACCAAAUCCUAUUAAACUCCGAAUACCAACGUAGAGUUCCUCGGGAGUGAGACUACGAGAGAUAAGUUCCGUAGUCAAAAGGGAAACAGCCCAGAUCGUCAGCUAAGGUCCCCAAGUUAUGGUUAAGUGAUUAAGGAGGUUAGGGCACAAAGACAACCAGGAGGUUGGCUUAGAAGCAGCAACCCUUGAAAGAGUGCGUAAUAGCUCACUGGUCAAGUGCCUUAGCGCCGAAAAUGUACGGGGCUAAAACCAUACACCGAAGCUACGGGAUUGUCGUAAGAUGAUCGGUAGAGGAGCGUACUGCCGUAGGUAGAAGGUUGAGCGUAAGCACAGCUGGACGAAGCAGUAGUGAGAAUGGCGGCAUGAGUAACGAAAACAUUGGUGAGAAUCCAAUGCGCCGAAAACCCAAGGUUUCCCUACGGCAGGUUCGUCCGCGUGGGGUUAGCCGGGACCUAAGCCGAGGCUGAAAAGCGUAGGCGAUGGACAGCAGGUUAAUAUUCCUGCGCUACUGUCCACGGUUUGAGCAAAGGGGGGACGCAGGAGGCUAGGUCAGGGGAACUGUUGGAAUAGUUCCUGCUUGCAUGUAGGUAGACUGGAUAGGCAAAUCCGUUCAGUUGUUGAUCUGAGGUGUGAGAGAAGCGGAUACGUUCUGCGAACUGAUUGACGCCACGCUGCCAGGAAAAGCCUCUAGCGACGUGAGAGAGUACCCGUACCCUAAACCGACACAGGUGGGUAAGUAGAGAAUACUAAGGCGCGCGAGAUAACCCUCGUUAAGGAACUCGGCAAAAUAACUCUGUAACUUCGGAAGAAGGAGUGCCACGGUAGUGUGAAGGAAUUAACUUCUGGAGCAUGAAGUGGUCGCAGCGGAGAGGUCCAAGCGACUGUUUAACAAAAACACAGGUCUAUGCUAAGGUGCAAACCGAUGUAUAUGGGCUGACUCCUGCCCAGUGCCGGAAGGUUAAGGAAGGGCGUUAGGGGUAACCCGAAGCGUUUGACUGAAGCCCCGGUGAACGGCGGCCGUAACUAUAACGGUCCUAAGGUAGCGAAAUUCCUUGUCGGGUAAGUUCCGACCCGCACGAAAGGAGUAACGACUUGGACGCUGUCUCGACGAGGGACUCGGUGAAAUUGGAAUGGCUGUGAAGAUACGGCCUACCCAUACCAGGACAGAAAGACCCCAUGGAGCUUUACUGUAGCUUGUCAUUGAAUUUAGGUUGCUUAUGUGCAGGAUAGGUGGGAGACUGUGAAUCGGACUCGUUAGGGUUCGUGGAGUCAUCAGUGAGAUACCACUCUUAAGUAAUCUGAGUUCUAACCCUGUACCGUUAUCCGGGCAGGGAACAGUGGCUGGUAGGCAGUUUGACUGGGGCGGUCGCCUCCCAAAGAGUAACGGAGGCGCCCAAAGGUUCCCUCAGCACGUUUGGAAAUCGUGCGAAGAGUG
rnacentral:rRNA from 1 species